UACGAAGGGGGCUAGCGUUGCUCGGAAUCACUGGGCGUAAAGGGUGCGUAGGCGGGUCUUUAAGUCAGGGGUGAAAUCUCAGAGCUCAACUCUGAAACUGCACUCGAUACUGCUUUGCUCGAGGACUGGAGAGGAGAUUGGAAUUCACGGUGUAGCAGUGAAAUGCGUAGAUAUCGUGAGGAAGACCAGUGGCGAAGGCGGAUCUCUGGACAGUUCCUGACGCUGAGGCGCGAAGGCCAGGGGAGCAAACGGG
rnacentral:rRNA from 1 species